UACGUAGGGUCCGAGCGUUGUCCGGAAUUACUGGGCGUAAAGAGCUCGUAGGUGGUUUGUCGCGUUGUUCGUGAAAACUCACAGCUCAACUGUGGGCGUGCGGGCGAUACGGGCAGACUUGAGUACUGCAGGGGAGAUUGGAAUUCCUGGUGUAGCGGUGGAAUGCGCAGAUAUCAGGAGGAACACCGGUGGCGAAGGCGGGUCUCUGGGCCGAUACUGACGCUGAGGAGCGAAAGCGUGGGGAGCGAACAGG
rnacentral:rRNA from 1 species